rnacentral:rRNA from 1 species
CUGGCGGCGUGCCUAAUACAUGCAAGUCGAGCGAACGGACGAGAAGCUUGCUUCUCUGAUGUUAGCGGCGGACGGGUGAGUAACACGUGGAUAACCUACCUAUAAGACUGGGAUAACUUCGGGAAACCGGAGCUAAUACCGGAUAAUAUUUUGAACCGCAUGGUUCAAAAGUGAAAGACGGUCUUGCUGUCACUUAUAGAUGGAUCCGCGCCGCAUUAGCUAGUUGGUAAGGUAACGGCUUACCAAGGCAACGAUGCAUAGCCGACCUGAGAGGGUGAUCGGCCACACUGGAACUGAGACACGGUCCAGACUCCUACGGGAGGCAGCAGUAGGGAAUCUUCCGCAAUGGGCGAAAGCCUGACGGAGCAACGCCGCGUGAGUGAUGAAGGUCUUCGGAUCGUAAAACUCUGUUAUUAGGGAAGAACAUAUGUGUAAGUAACUGUGCACAUCUUGACGGUACCUAAUCAGAAAGCCACGGCUAACUACGUGCCAGCAGCCGCGGUAAUACGUAGGUGGCAAGCGUUAUCCGGAAUUAUUGGGCGUAAAGCGCGCGUAGGCGGUUUUUUAAGUCUGAUGUGAAAGCCCACGGCUCAACCGUGGAGGGUCAUUGGAAACUGGAAAACUUGAGUGCAGAAGAGGAAAGUGGAAUUCCAUGUGUAGCGGUGAAAUGCGCAGAGAUAUGGAGGAACACCAGUGGCGAAGGCGACUUUCUGGUCUGUAACUGACGCUGAUGUGCGAAAGC